rnacentral:rRNA from 1 species
UACGGAGGGUGCAAGCGUUACUCGGAAUCACUGGGUGUAAAGGGCGCGUAGGCGGCCCGGUAAGUUUGGUGUGAAAGCCCACGGCUCAACUGUGGAACUGCACUGAAGACUGCCAGGCUAGAGUACAGGAGAGGAGGGUGGAAUUCAUGGUGUAGAGGUGAAAUUCGUAGAUAUCAUGAGGAACACCAGCGGCGAAGGCGGCCCUCUGGACUGUAACUGACGCUAAGGCGCGAAAGCGUGGGGAGCAAACAGG